GGAGGACGGAGAAGAGCUACUCCCCAUUCAAGAUCAGGAGGGGUGACUUCAUCCAAGGUAAGGAGCAGUGGCUGCACUUUGCUGGAGCAGCCAUGAAGAGACACCCCACGUCCAAGGUGCUGAACCAUCCCUGUACUGAGCAGCUGGAGGUCUGGGUUCCCACUAGGAGCCACCACAGAGAUGUGACCUUCAAAUUCAGUGUUUUGUGAACUGCCUACAGCUGAGACGGAAUUGAGGCAUCAGCUCCCAUGAACAAUGCCAGAAACACAUUCUCUUGCAGUUUUCCAUCUCACGUUUACCAGGUGUCUCCAGAAUUAAAGAGAAGCGAAAAGGAACUUCAACUAUAUUAGUAUCAUGGUUAACCAUGCCAGAAAUUAUGGCAAGAGGGUGAGAUAACUUUGAGAUUUUAAAUGUGUACAUGGUAUUAUUUUAUUAGGUAAGAUAGCAG
ensembl:lncRNA